AACGAACGCUGGCGGCAGGCUUAACACAUGCAAGUCGAACGCCCCGCAAGGGGAGUGGCAGACGGGUGAGUAACGCGUGGGAAUCUACCCAGUUCUACGGAACAACUGAGGGAAACUUCAGCUAAUACCGUAUACGCACUACGGGGGAAAGAUUUAUCGGAAUUGGAUUAGCCCGCGUUGGAUUAGGUAGUUGGUGAGGUAACGGCGCACCAAGGCGACGAUCCAUAGCUGGUCUGAGAGGAUGAUCAGCCACACUGGGACUGAGACACUGCCCAGGCUCCUACUGGACGCAGCAGUGGGGAAUCUUGGACAAUGGGCGGAAGCAUGCUCCAUCCAUGCCGCGUGAGUGAUGAAGGCCCUAGGGUUGUAAAGCUCUGUCAGUGGGGACGAUAAUGACGGUACCCACAGAAGAAGCCCCGGCUAACUUCGUGCCAGCCGCCGCGGUAAAAC
rnacentral:rRNA from 1 species